rnacentral:rRNA from 1 species
AAAUUGAAGAGUUUGAUCAUGGCUCAGAUUGAACGCUGGCGGCAGGCCUAACACAUGCAAGUCGAACGGUAACAGGAAGCAGCUUGCUGCUUCGCUGACGAGUGGCGGACGGGUGAGUAAUGUCUGGGAAACUGCCUGAUGGAGGGGGAUAACUACUGGAAACGGUAGCUAAUACCGCAUAACGUCGCAAGACCAAAGAGGGGGACCUUAGGGCCUCUUGCCAUCGGAUGUGCCCAGAUGGGAUUAGCUUGUUGGUGGGGUAACGGCUCACC